rnacentral:lncRNA from 1 species
AUCUGAAUCGGGUUGUGGUUUGAUGUGAAUGUUCGGCGCUUUUUUUUUUCCUGGGUUCGGGACUGAACGAGUUCAUUUCGGCUUGUGCUUGUGCGGUUCGAUUUAUUUCGAUGAAUGCAUUGUUACAGAUGGGGCGGACCGCGAUUUGGGCAGAUACUAGAGAAGGAAGUCUCUGCAAAUUAGCAUCCCGGAAGACCGGCCUUUUGAUUUUUGGCGAAUAGUGUAUG